rnacentral:rRNA from 1 species
CCUACGGGGGGCUGCAGUCGAGAAUCUUCGGCAAUGGGCGAAAGCCUGACCGAGCGACGCCGCGUGCGGGAUGAAGGCCCUCGGGUUGUAAACCGCUGUCAGUGGGGAGGAAGGCUCUGUGAAGAGCAGGGUUUGACCUAUCCGCAGAGGAAGUCCGGGCUAAGUUCGUGCCAGCAGCCGCGGUAACACGAACCGGGCAAACGUUAUUCGGAAUCACUGGGCUUAAAGGGUGCGUAGGCGGCCUGACAAGUUGGGUGUGAAAUCCCUCGGCUCAACCGAGGAAUUGCGCUCAAAACUGUUGGGCUCGAGGGAGUUAGAGGUAAGCGGAACUUAGGGUGGAGCGGUGAAAUGCGUUGAUAUCCUAAGGAACACCAGUGGCGAAAGCGGCUUACUGGAGCUCUUCUGACGCUGAGGCACGAAAGCCAGGGGAGCGAACGGGAUUAGAUACCCCGGUAGUC